GACGAACGCUGGCGGCGUGCUUAACACAUGCAAGUCGAACGGAAGGGCCCCCUUGUGGGGUACUCGAGUGGCGAACGGGUGAGUAACACGUGAGUAACCUACCCUUGACUUUGGGAUAACUUCAGGAAACUGGGGCUAAUACCGGAUAGGAGCUCCUGCUGCAUGGUGGGGGUUGGAAAGUUUCGGCGGUUGGGGAUGGACUCGCGGCUUAUCAGCUUGUUGGUGGGGUAGUGGCUCACCAAGGCUUUGACGGGUAGCCGGCCUGAGAGGGUGACCGGCCACAUUGGGACUGAGAUACGGCCCAGACUCCUACGGGAGGCAGCAGUGGGGAAUAUUGCACAAUGGGCGGAAGCCUGAUGCAGCAACGCCGCGUGCGGGAUGGCGGCCUUCGGGUUGUAAACCGCUUUCGCCUGUGACGAAGCGUGAGUGACGGUAAUGGGUAAAGAAGCACCGGCUAACUACGUG
rnacentral:rRNA from 1 species